GUUGACCUCGGAUCAGGUAGGGAUACCCGCUGAACUUAAGCAUAUCAAUAAGCGGAGGAAAAGAAACCAACAGGGAUUGCUCUAGUAACGGCGAGUGAAGCAGCAAUAGCUCAAAUUUGAAAUCUGGCGUCUUCGGCGUCCGAGUUGUAAUUUGUAGAGGAUGCUUCUGGGCAGCCACCGACCUAAGUUCCUUGGAACAGGACGUCAUAGAGGGUG
rnacentral:rRNA from 2 species